CCCCUACGGGAGGCAGCAGUGUGGAAUAUUGGUCAAUGGGCGGGAGCCUGAACCAGCCAAGUCGCGUGAGCGAUGAAGGCCCUAUGGGUCGUAAAGCUCUGUUGUGAAGGAAGAACAUAUUUGAUAGGGAAUGAUCAAAUACUGACGGUACUUCACCAGAAAGCCCCGGCUAACUACGUGCCAGCAGCCGCGGUAAUACGUAGGGGGCGAGCGUUAUCCGGAUUUAUUGGGCGUAAAGCGUGCGUAGGCGGUUUAUUAAGUAUAUGAUUAAAGCCCGAGGCUCAACCUCGGAUCGUCUUAUAAAC
rnacentral:rRNA from 1 species